rnacentral:rRNA from 1 species
UUGAUCCUGGCUCAGGACGAACGCUGGCGGCGUGCUUAACACAUGCAAGUGGAGCGACGAACCGGGCUUCGGCCCGGGGCAAAGCCGCGAACGGGUGAGUAACACGUGGGUAACCCACCCCGAUGACCGGGACAACCCGAGGAAACUCGAGCUAAUACCGGAUGUUCUCGCUUCUCGUAAGGGAAACGAGCAAAGAUAGCUUCGGCCUUCGCAUCGGGACGGGCCCGCGGCCCAUUAGCUUGUUGGUGGGGUAACGGCCUACCAAGGCGACGAUGGGUAGCUGGUCUGAGAGGACGAUCAGCCACACUGGGACUGAGACACGGCCCAGACUCCUACGGGAGGCAGCAGUGGGGAAUCUUGCGCAAUGCGCGAAAGCGUGACGCAGCAACGCCGCGUGGGGGAAGAAGGCCUUCGGGUUGUAAACCCCUUUCAGUUGGGACGAAGCUUCGCCGGUUAAUAGCCGGCUGGAGUGACGGUACCUUCAGAAGAAGCCCCGGCUAACUACGUGCCAGCAGCCGCGGUAAUACGUAGGGGGCUAGCGUUGUCCGGAAUCAUUGGGCGUAAAGCGCGUGUAGGCGGUCCGGUAAGUCCGCUGUGAAAGUCGGGGGCUCAACCCUCGGAUGCCGGUGGAUACUGUCGGGCUUGAGUACGGAAGAGGCGAGUGGAAUUCCUGGUGUAGCGGUGAAAUGCGCAGAUAUCAGGAGGAACACCAAUUGCGAAGGCAGCUCGCUGGGACGUCACUGACGCUGAGACGCGAAAGCGUGGGGAGCAAACAGGAUUAGAUACCCUGGUAGUCCACGCUGUAAACGAUGGGCACUAGGUGUGGGGGGUGUCGACUCCCUCCGUGCCGAAGCUAACGCAUUAAGUGCCCCGCCUGGGGAGUACUGCCGCAAGGCUAAAACUCAAAGGAAUUGACGGGGGC